rnacentral:rRNA from 1 species
UACGUAGGGUGCGAGCGUUGUCCGGAAUUACUGGGCGUAAAGGGCGCGUAGGCGGCCAUGCGUGUCUUCCGUGAAAUCCCUCGGCUUAACUGAGGACGUGCGGAAGAAACUGCAAGGCUCGAGUCCGGGAGAGGGGGGUGGAAUUCCCAGUGUAGCGGUGAAAUGCGUAGAUAUUGGGAGGAACACCGGUGGCGAAGGCGGCCCCCUGGACCGGUACUGACGCUGAGGCGCGAAAGCGUGGGUAGCAAACGGG